rnacentral:rRNA from 1 species
AUUGAACGCUGGCGGCAGGCCUAACACAUGCAAGUCGAACGGAGCGGCGGACGGGUGAGUAAUGUCUGGGAACCUGCCUGGUAGUGGGGGAUAACGUCUGGAAACGGGAGCUAAUACCGCAUACCAUCAGAUGUGCCCAGGUCGGAUUAGCUAGUUGGUGGGGUAACGGCCUACCAAGGCGACGAUCCGUAGCUGGUCUGAGAGGAUGAUCAGUCACACUGGAACUGAGACACGGUCCAGACUCCUACGGGAGGCAGCAGUGGGGAAUAUUGGACAAUGGGCGAAAGCCUGAUCCAGCCAUGCCGCGUGUGUGAAGAAGGUCUUCGGGUUGUAAAGCACUUUCAGUUGGGAGGCGUUACCAGCAGAAUAAGCACCGGCUAACUUCGUGCCAGCAGCCGCGGUAAUAC